ACACAUGCAAGUCGAGCGGCAGCGCGGGGGCAACCCUGGCGGCGAGCGGCGAACGGGUGAGUAAUGCAUCGGAACGUGUCCUCUUGUGGGGGAUAACCAGUCGAAAGACUGGCUAAUACCGCAUGAGAUCGAGAGAUGAAAGCAGGGGACCGCAAGGCCUUGCGCGAGAGGAGCGGCCGAUGCCGGAUUAGCUAGUUGGUGGGGUAAUGGCCUACCAAGGCGACGAUCCGUAGCUGGUCUGAGAGGACGACCAGCCACACUGGGACUGAGACACGGCCCAGACUCCUACGGGAGGCAGCAGUGGGGAAUUUUGGACAAUGGGGGCAACCCUGAUCCAGCCAUGCCGCGUGUGUGAAGAAGGCCUUCGGGUUGUAAAGCACUUUCGGCCGGAACGAAAUCGCGCGGGUGAAUAUCCCGUGUGGAUGACGGUACCGGAAGAAGAAGCACCGGCUAACUACGUGCCAGCAGCCGCGGUAAUACGUAGGGUGCGAGCGUUAAUCGGAAUUACUGGGCGUAAAGUGUGCGCAGGUGGCCGCGCAAGUCGAGUGUGAAAUCCCCGAGCUUAACUUGGGAAUUGCGCUCGAAACUACGUGGCUCGAGUGUGGCAGAGGAAGGUGGAAUUCCACGUGUAGCGGUGAAAUGCGUAGAGAUGUGGAGGAACACCGAUGGCGAAGGCAGCCUUCUGGGCCAACACUGACGCUCAUGCACGAAAGCGUGGGGAGCAAACAGGA
rnacentral:rRNA from 1 species